rfam:Erwinia billingiae strain Eb661 complete chromosome.
UUUUCCUCGCUAAACCUUGUGAAACAAGAAAAAAGCGUAAUAAGAAAGUUUGCCGGAUAGCCCAUACACGCAGCAAUGGCGUAAGACGUAUUGUGCAAUCAGGCAUUUAGCGGGCUGCGGGUUGCAGCCUGGACGACAAGACGGGAUUGGUUCACUCUGGUUACUCACUGGCGGUUCCCCCCUUUUUAAAAGCGCUGUUUUUCCAUAUGAAAAACAGGCUGCCGAGAUUUUGCGCCCCUUAGCAGACCACAACCGUGAGGUUGACGUUUUUGCGAUGAGACUCGGGGCCAUCGGUUACUCGCGUCCAGCGUUACUAUUGCCCGUAGCUUUGUCACUAA